AAAAAUCUUACUAACUAUAUUUGUUUUACUAUUUGUACUCAAGAUUUUAUCUUAAGUACAGCGGCUCUGCUCGAAGCCGUAUAGCGUCAAAAUGACGGUAUUAUGAAUUGUAGCAAGGUGCGGGUCUACCUUUCAAAAGGCUCGGCGGUACUCUGUGCGGGUAUUCUAACAACGAUAUAAUUUAGAAAGUAAGCUAAAUCGGGACUUCUGGGGCGGAGUACAGAAGAAUAGACGAACUAGUCUAUGUUAGAAUAAGU
rnacentral:sRNA from 12 species